rnacentral:ncRNA from 2 species
UUUUUUUAAAAAGCGCCUGAACUGCCCAAAGUGGUUGGGUUAGUUGACGAGGAGGAGGUUUAUCGAAUGUUCGGCGGAUACCUCCCGGUUGAACGUGUACAACCGAAAAUUUCUUCUUUAAAACACAGAGGCAACUCUGUGCACAAAGAGAAGAAAAUGCACAUAC